rnacentral:rRNA from 1 species
CGUAUAUUUAAGUUGUUGCAGUUAAAAAGCUCGUAGUUGGAUUUCGGUUAAGAGCGACCGGUCCGCCGUUUGGUGUGCACUGGUUGGUUUUAACUUCCUGUAGAGGACGUGCUCUGGGCUUAACGGUCUGGACUCGGAGUCUACGUGGUUACUUUGAAAAAAUUAGAGUGUUCAAAGCGGGCUUACGCUUGAAUAUUUCAGCAUGGAAUAACACUAUAGGACUCCUGUCCUAUUUCGUUGGUCUCGGGACGGGAGUAAUGAUUAAGAGGAACAGUUGGGGGCAUUCGUAUUUCAUUGUCAGAGGUGAAAUUCUUGGAUUUAUGAAAGACGAACUUCUGCGAAAGCAUUUGCCAAGGAUGUUUUCAUUAAUCAAGAACGAAAGUUGGGGGCUCGAAGAUGAUUAGAUACCAUCCUAGUCUCAACCAUAAACGAUGCCGACUAGGGAUUGGCGGAUGUUAAUUGAUGACUCCGCCAGCACCUUAUGAGAAAUCAAAGUUUUUGGGUUCCGGGGGGAGUAUGGUCGCAAGGCUGAAACUUAAAGGAAUUGA